rnacentral:rRNA from 1 species
GGACUACAAGGGUAUCUAAUCCUGUUUGCUCCCCUAGCUUUCGUGCAUCAGCGUCAGUUAUGGUCCAGUGAGCCGCUUUCGCCACAGGUGUUCCUCCUGAUAUCUACGCAUUUCACCGCUACACCAGGAAUUCCACUCACCUCUCCCACACUCAAGCCCGGCAGUUUCUCGUGCAGACUCUGAGUUGAGCCCAGAGAUUUCACACAAGACUUACCAAACCGCCUACGCACCCUUUACGCCCAAUAAUUCCGAACAACGCUCGCCCCCCUCGUAUUACCGCGGCGGCUGGCAC